rnacentral:rRNA from 1 species
ACCCGGGACGCGGCGGACGGCUCAGGACAACGGUUGCACCCCCCGCGGCGGUCCCUGCUAGCCGGACACCGCUGGCAACCCGGCGCCAAGACGUGCGCGCAAGGGCGGGCGCCCGCGGGCGAGCAGCGUGACGCAGCGACGGCCCGCCCGGGCUUCCGGGGCAUCA